ensembl:lncRNA
UGUGUCUGUGCGUGUGCGUGUGCGUGUGCGUGAGGACUUACUGACUGCUGAUCAGACCCACGUCAGCUGACACCUCCUCUCCUCCAGGAUCAGAAGCUCGUGUACUUACAAGACCACAUGGAUUAUCUGCGCUCUGAUUAAAUCUCAGAGGUCGACUCUGGAGAAAAGAAGCUUCCUCUCCGGGCUGCAGGGAGCUGAGCUCAUUGCUGUGGGAUGUGAACAUUAGCUGAUCAGAGACCAGCUUGUAACAGCAAACGUGGGCCUUUACAAUCCUCUGGGAGGCCGCUAAUAAAGACGGAGCGCGCUGCGGAAAGCAAACGGCCGACGUGUGAACUCGCUCCCUCUCGAAAAGGAGCCGUGGCGCUUUUGAUGAGGCGACACGAGCUGCCUCGUUCUACCUGUGGGACGUUCCAUCACCUCCCCCCCCCCGCCGAGAACACGCCCAGCGGAAAGGUGCGCUUUGCCCGCCCGUCAACCAUGAACAGAGCGGACGGCUUCAGCUUUCCAAUCAGGGUGUGGACGCUGCA